rnacentral:rRNA from 1 species
UACGGAGGGGGCUAGCGUUGUUCGGAAUUACUGGGCGUAAAGCGCACGUAGGCGGCUUUGCAAGUUAGAGGUGAAAGCCCGGGGCUCAACUCCGGAAUUGCCUUUAAAACUGCAUCGCUAGAAUUGUGGAGAGGUAAGUGGAAUUCCGAGUGUAGAGGUGAAAUUCGUAGAUAUUCGGAAGAACACCAGUGACGAAGGCGACUUACUGGACACAUAUUGACGCUGAGGUGCGAAAGCGUGGGGAGCAAACAGG